GAUGAACGCUAGCGACAGGCCUAACACAUGCAAGUCGAGGGGCAGCACGAAGUAAGCUUGCUUACUUUGGUGGCGACCGGCGCACGGGUGCGUAACAGGUGUGCAAUCUGUCCAUAAUCGGGGAAUAGCCCAGCGAAAGUUGGAUUAAUGCUCCAUGUGAGUUUUAGAGGCAUCUCUUUAAUUUGAAACGUAAGGAUUAUGGGUGAGCACGCUUCUGAUUAGGUAGUUGGUGAGAUAACAGCCCACCAAGGCGACGAUCAGUAGCCGACCUGAGAGGGUGAUCGGCCACAUUGGGACUGAGACACGGCCCAAACUCCUACGGGAGGCAGCAGUGGGGAAUAUUGCACAAUGGGGGGAAACCCUGAUGCAGCAACGCCGCGUGAAGGAUGAAGGUUUUCGGAUCGUAAACUCCUGUCGUAAGGGACGAUAAUGACGGUACCUUACAAGAAAGCUCCGGCUAACUACGUG
rnacentral:rRNA from 1 species